UGGGGUAUCGCCAAGCGGUAAGGCAUUGGUUUUUGGUACCAACAUUCGGGGGUUCGAAUCCCUCUACCCCAUCCA
rnacentral:tRNA from 3 species